rnacentral:misc_RNA from 1 species
GAUGAAGAACGUAGCGAAAUGCGAUAAGUAAUGUGAAUUGCAGAAUUCAGUGAAUCAUCGAGUCUUUGAACGCACAUUGCGCCCCCUGGUAUUCCGGGGGGCAUGCCUGUCCGAGCGUCAUUGCCGCCCUCAAGCACGGCUUGUGUGUUGGGCCCCCGCCCCCCGGCUUCGGGGGGCGGGCCCGAAAGGCAGCGGCGGCACCGCGUCCGGUCCUCGAGCGUAUGGGGCUUCGUCACCCGCUCUGUAGGCCCGGCCGGCGCUUGCCGAUCAACCCAAAUUUUUAUCCAGGUUGACCUCGGAUCAGGUAGGGAUACCCGCUGAACUUAAGCAUAUCAAUAAGCGGAGGA